GCACCCGCACAAGCGGUGGAGCAUGCUGUUUAAUUCGAAAUACGCGAAAACCUUACCUAGACUUGACAUCCCUGGCAAAGCUUUUGGAAACAUUAGCCGAGGUUAUCCAAGUGACAGGUGGUGCAUGGUUGUCGUCAGCUCGUGUCGUGAGAUGUUUGGUUAAGUCCAAUAACGAGCGCAACCCUCGUCUUUAGUUGCUAACAUUUAGUUGAGAACUCUAAAGAUACUGCCGGCGUAAGCCGGAGGAAGGUGGGGAUGACGUCAAAUCAUCAUGCCCCUUACGUCUAGGGCUACAGGCGUGCUACAAUGGCCAGUACAACGGGUCGCAACACAGUGAUGUGAAGCUAAUCCCUUAAAGCUGGUCCCAGUCCGGAUCGUAGUCUGCAACUCGACUACGUGAAGUUGGAAUCGCUAGUAAUCCCGAAUCAGAAUGUCG
rnacentral:rRNA from 1 species